rnacentral:rRNA from 2 species
UACCAUGCAGUCGAGCGGAUGAUGGAGCUUGCUCCAUGAUUCAUCGGCGGACGGGUGAGUAAUGCCUAGGAAUCUGCCUGGUAGUGGGGGACAACGUUUCGAAAGGAACGCUAAUACCGCAUACGUCCUACGGGAGAAAGUGGGGGAUCUUCGGACCUCACGCUAUCACAUGAGCCUAGGUCGGAUUACCUAGUUGGUGAGGUAAAGGCUCACCAAGGCGACGAUCCGUAACUGGUCUGAGAGGAUGAUCAGUCACACUGGAACUGAAACACGGUCCAGACUCCUACGGGAGGCAGCAGUGGGGAAUAUUGGACAAUGGGCGAAAGCCUGAUCCAGCCAUGCCGCGUGUGUGAAGAAGGUCUUCGGAUUGUAAAGCACUUUAAGUUGGGAGGAAGGGCAGUAAGUUAAUACCUUGCUGUUUUGACGUUACCAACAGAAUAAGCACCGGCUAACUUCGUGCCAGCAGCCGCGGUAAUACGAAGGGUGCAAGCGUUAAUCGGAAUUACUGGGCGUAAAGCGCGCGUAUGUGGUUCGUUAAGUUGGAUGUGAAAGCCCCGGGCUCAACCUGGGAACUGCAUCCUAAACUGGUUAUCUAUAUUAUGGCAGAGGUUGUUGGAAUUUCCUGUGUAUCUGUGACAUUC